UUUACAUUUUCCGUUUGUCUUAGUGCACGAUGUAAUUAUAGAAGAGUCAAGUUUUAAAUAGUAAAAACCACCAAAAAACUGCGACCGCGUUCUAGCACGUCAUUAUUUUUGCGACUGUCUGGUGCUCUGUGUGACGGCUGUUUUUUUUUUUUAGGCUCGAGCCUAACGAACAUUAGAUUGAGUGUUACUCUUGUCAGGUUCUGGGCUGUUUGCAGAAAAGCACUCGUUGUGCUGAGGGUUGCAUGCCUGGCAACACGCGCUGGUUGCCGUAGACGACCGUUUCGGGUAUGAAUUGCAUUCAGCAUCGGGGGUGUAUUGCUGCUUGACUUCCUGCUUAUCAUGACUGUUCAUCUCUUGCCGACUGGACGAGUGGCGCGAUCUCCGCAUGUUUGGUAUGUGCCAGCAAUUGUACAAUAGUAAAUUAAUGCUAUGCAUAUUUUAGCUCAUAGUCAGGCUUUUGCAGAUGACUUGAUCUGCCGUUUUAAGGGCACUUGAAGACUACACUUACCGGCUCUAGGAUUUGUCGUCGCUGCUGUUUUGUUCCCAUUACAAUUUUAUUUAUUUUUAUUUUUUGUGUUCUUUUCCUUAUCAACAUGCUUCAGUGCAGUUGCUCACAUCUGAGCACGCUUCCGCACUGCUGAUGUUUUAUUUUGUUUUUGUUUGAGUUAUUUGGCUGUAUUAGUUGGGUGUGUGUAAUUAAUUGUUUAGUUUACCCAAAAAAAAACACAGAAUGUAAAUUAUACUGAAACUGUUUCAGUAUAAUUUACAUUCUGUGUUUUUUUGGGGUUGUUUUAUUAUUUGUGAUUUUGUUGAUGUAUCGUUUUGUAAUUGAUGUUUUGUUUCUUUAUUUUUGGGUGCUAGUUUUUGUGCUUUGCUUGUAUUGUGAAUAAUGUUUAUUUUUCUUUGCUCACUGUGAGUUAUCCCUGACUGGUUCCAAGGAAAAGAGGGAUUGUGAGUGGUAACCGGCCUAGGGAGACUGUUCCUGUGGGCCCGUAGCGAUCCAUUCACAAUCACUGACACUGAUGAGUGCAGGUUUGAGUGGAUUGUGGAGUGUUUUGUCUAGUUGCGCAUAGUAUUGUAUGUCUCGUAUGUGGUGUCCUGUACAUUGGGUACCCAUGAGUAUGAUUGUUUGAUUUAUUUUGUUGAUUUAUUUUUGUAAUUCUUUAUUUCUUGUGUUUCAGGCACGGUGAGCCCGGUGCAGGAGGGCUAGUUGUCCAAUUUUGGUGACGGGUCCUGAUGAGACACAGUGUGUGGUCUGCAAUCCACAGUGAUUGGUCUUAGUUGACGUGAUUAAGUGUGAAGUGUGGUGCACGUGUGGGUGCUCCUUUACCAUCGCUAAGACUAGCGACGUCUGGCACUAGCUCAUCCUGCUUCUGGUGAUCACGAGCCCUGUGAGCUGUUAUUGUGUGAUGUUCUAAGUUAAGCUAACUGACUGGCACACCAGCAUUUUUAUCUUUGUCUAAAUAAAGAAUCUUUUUGUAUUUUUCUAUA